ensembl:lncRNA
UUUUCACAUGCUGAUACCUAGUACAUGCAGGAGUGAAAAAAUGAAAUCAAGAACCUGCCAUGGCUGCUGAGCAGCACUGCACUGAAGGACCAGGCUGUGAGGGAGUGGUGGAGCUGCCUGUCCUGCCUGUCCAGCCGAUGCUGACCCAGGAGCUUGCACAUUUUGGGGGCAUUUUUAUCCAUGUAUCUGAGGCACAGUGUUCAUCUCCUCACGUUAAUCUCAUGGGAAGGCAGGGCAGCUUUCAGACAGUGGCAUUCUCCUGACAAAGCCCAGCCCUCCCAUCCUGCGCUUUGCACUGAUGGAAGAACCAUAUCCAGAUGAAGCAGCCGGAGCCCCCAGGGAAGAUGGGCUGCCUUCUCCCUUCUCCCUCACUUACAGAUGCCACAUCCCAUCUCAUUUAUGUUAUUAAAAUGAUUUCCGUGGGGUCACCUUCUGCUUCACGCCUGAAAUGAUCUAGAAAAUUAAGCUCUUCCUGUUGUGGCAUUUCAAUUUCAAUUGUGGAUUUUAAACCUGCCCUCUCUCCUUGGUUCUUUGAUUUUGUACAGCCAGCAACUGCAUCAGAUGUUGAUAAAAACAACUCACAGACACAUCGGCUUAUGUGAUGUUCCGAUGAGCGAGGUGGAUGACAACAAACACACAGUACUUCAGGCCCCCACUGGGUCUCUCUCCAUUUUCUUCACAGAGAACCUAUCUAACCUGCAGUGUGGAGUAGAAAGAGGUUGCAUCAAAAGAACAUCUGCACAUUGGCACAGCAAUGAGCUUAGGCAGUUGCACCCAGUGGUGAAACAGCUUUAAUCCUUUUUCCACGUGCAAAAAUUAUGCAUCUUGUAAAGGGAUGCUCUCAUUGAAGUCAGCCCUGACAGAUUGUGUGACAUCUCAUAGGUUUCAUCUAAACCAGUUCUGCACAGGGGCCCACAGGGAGAAGGCAGGAGGGGUCGGAACAUCAACUGGAUCAAGCAAACAGCCUUCAGAGGAGUCAUCACCCUGCACUGAUCUCUUGCAUUUCUGAGAGUCCCUGUAAGCAGAUUUAUUUGUCUAAAACGUGGCUGACUCUACCCAAAUAUUGAUGUACCUCUGGAGUGGCUUUAAAAAUAUUUAAAGACCUUUGGUCAUGUGGAGCAGAGGAUUUCAGAGGAGCAUGAGUCUUGCAAGAUGAUACUAGCACCUAUGUCACUUGGCUGCUUUUGGAAAUGCUCCCCACAGCGCUGUAUGUGGAUGGUAUCCAGCUGUCCUUGCAGACAGGCAUUGUGCAGCCCCUUGGGGCAAAGGAUAUUUGGACAAGGAAAGGGAAAUGAGGAUAUUCCUGCCUCACCCAGUCCCUCAUUGCUUUAGGAAGGACACAAGCACAUUUAAAGUUUCAUCUAAAAGUUGAGAAAAGAAAUACAAAUUAUGCACAUUUUAUGGGUCCACAGUUGAGCCAGAGACUGUUCUGCUUCAUUUCCUCCUUGCCUUUCCCCUGUCCACCUAAAAGUGCACAUCUGGCUCCAGGGGUCGGAGGUGGCUGAGGGCAAUGUGAGCCACACCGGCCUCUUAUGUGCCUGAGUUGCUCUGGCUCAAUGAGCCAGCCACCCUGUGGUUGACUUCUGACAGUUUAAAUUUGGAGGUACUUGCAUUUCCCCAAGAAGGAGAGCAGAUAGGCCACUGUUAUCCUUCAGGCACUGUGCAUGGAUGGAAAGAUCAGAGUCACAAAUAGCUCAGCCAAGCAGAGAGCGAUGUCAAUGGCACUAAUGUGCUGCUGUGUAUCAGCUUCAUGAGGACUGAGCUUUGCUGAGGCCAGAGCCAGCAACUCUGUUUAUCUUCUGUGCUAAUCCAGAAUAAUGCGUGGUCAUAAAUCUUAUGCUUAGAAUGGGAAGAACCCCUUUAAAGGUAGCAAAGUGCUUGCAGUUUUGUUGCCAACACCCUUUAGUGACCUGCCACAUUCCUGUAGGUAUUUUUAAUAUAGCAAAUAACAACGACCUCAUUUCUCAGGGUAAAACACAAAUUUGGAGCUGCAGCAAACAUGCUGCCUUUUGGGAUGCUGUGGUGCAGUAAGCAUCUUGUAAGCACAAAAAUGAAACAGAGGGUGCAUUCUCAUUGCAUAUCUUAUAUCUCACCUCAACAGGACCAUGGUGUUUAUUGAGCACUGAUAACAUAUCGGGUGGUUGUAGUAGCAAUCAAAGCAAAUCAGGCCACAGCAUAGCUGUGAUACCAGAGAAUUGGAAGACAGGACUUCCUAGGGGAAGCAUCUGUCCUCUCUAGUAUUAGCGACAACCUUUUUAAUUACUGAGAUGUUGGAGCUGGCAAAGGUUGCAGAGAGGAUUGGCUUGGUAGUCAUUUAGAAGAGGCCCAGCUGCUGGUAAGGAUUCCCAUGUAAUCAUUUUUCGACUGGAUAGGGGGAGAAAUAAACUUCACGUGUUU